rnacentral:rRNA from 2 species
ACACCGCCCGUCGCUACUACCGAUGGACGAUUUGGUGAGGUCGCCUAGACUGGCCGCUGGCUUCGGCCGUGCGGUCGGAAAGGCGCCCAAACUUGGUCGUCUAGAGGAAGUAAAAGUCGUAACAAGGUUUUCGUAGGUGAACCUGCGGAAGGAUCAUUCA